ACUCCUACGGGAGGCAGCAGUAGGGAAUCUUCCGCAAUGGACGAAAGUCUGACGGAGCAAUGCCGCGUGAGUGACGAAGGUUUUCGGAUCGUAAAACUCUGUUGUAAGGGAAGAACAAGUACCAAGUAACUACUGGUACCUUGACGGUACCUUACCAGAAAGCCACGGCUAACUACGUGCCAGCAGCCGCGGUAAUACGUAGGUGGCAAGCGUUGUCCGGAAUUAUUGGGCGUAAAGCGCGCGCAGGCGGUCCCUUAAGUCUGAUGUGAAAGCCCACGGCUCAACCGUGGAGGGUCAUUGGAAACUGGGGGACUUGAGUGCAGAAGAGGAAAGUGGAAUUCCAUGUGUAGCGGUGAAAUGCGUAGAGAUGUGGAGGAACACCAGUGGCGAAGGCGACUUUCUGGUCUGUAACUGACGCUGAGGCGCGAAAGCGUGGGGAGCAAACAGGAUUAGAUACCCUGGUAGUCCACGCCGUAAACGAUGAGUGCUAAGUGUUAGGGGGUUUCCGCCCCUUAGUGCUGCAGCUAACGCAUUAAGCACUCCGCCUGGGGAGUAC
rnacentral:rRNA from 1 species